CUAAGGGAGGAAUUAUGGGAAAGGGGCGAGUUUAUAAAAGGCCUAGGUUCGGCCAGGCUCCGUGGCGUACACCUGUUAUCCCAGCAUUUUGGGAGGUCGCUGUGGGCGUAUCAGGAGGCCAGGAAAUCGGAACCAUCCUGGCCAGCAUGUCCAUCUCUUUCUUCUGAAGAGGCACAGACUGAAGUUCUGCGGACCCGACCCGAAAGGAUAGUCUGGUACUCGGGGCAACUCGGAUCUCUUCCACCACCAACAAAAAAUUACUCUGGUUGCUAUGUAUGUGCAGGAUAUGCUAUAAGAGAUGAGUGUGAAAGUAGUGAAAUCCUUCAGGAGGCUGUUGAAGUAAUCUCAGUGAGAAGUCAUGGUGGCUUGGACCAGGGUGAGCUCAGCAGAGAUGGGGAGAAGGAGACCUGAUACAUUCCAGAUAUGUUUUGAAAGGCCUGGCUGCUGAUGGAGCUGAUUUAGGAAUAGUGUAUGGGAUUUUCUUUUUCUUUUCCUGCAAAUAAAGUAAUUUUGUAACAUCCUUUUCCUUUAACUAUUAUUGAACCUACCCCACCUUAUAAUGACCAAAGUGAAUCAUUUAUUGAUUGAUUUAGAGACAGAGUUUCACUCUUGUCGCCCAGGCUGGAGUGCAAUCAAGAGAUCUCUGCUGACUGCAACCUCCACCAACUAGGUUCAAGCGAUUCUCCCGCCUCAUCCUCCCAAGUAGCUGGGAUUAUAGUCGCCUAUCACCACACCUGGCUCAUUUUUGUCUUUUUAGUAGAGACAGGGUUUUACCACGCUGGCCAGGCUGAUCUCAAACUCCUGACCUCAGGUGAUCCGCCCACCGUGGCCUCCCAAAGUGCCGAGAUUACAGGCCUGAACUAAUGCGCCCACGUGUGUUUGUUUAAAUAUGUCUGUAUCAAGAUAGUUCUGGUACUAAGAUUUCUUAUUUGCUACAUGCUUCCUGCCUCUCUGAUUUCCUGGAUCUUUUCUCUGACUUCAGAUGCAUUCAGGCCCUCCUUCCCUCCAGUUUCUUCUCUCUGAUCAGUUUUCUGCUCUGUGUGUUUCCCUGAUUUGGGCCCCUUCUUGCUAAUCAGAAUGCAGUCUUGAUGGUUGGACAUCAAGCAGCCAUGUUAAAUAACUAGGUGGAAGCCAUUGCUGAGGAUGAUGGUGUAGAAAGACAGAAGGAGUUAUGUUCAUGAAGCAUCCCUCACAACUGUAGACUGUCACUGGACAAUUUCCUGAAAGUGAGAAUAGUACUUCUAUCUUCUUUUAAGGUAAAGUUACGUUGUUAUUCCCAGGCAAAUAUAGCCUGAACUAUCACCGUGCUAGGAAUGGUGGGUUUUGUUUGGUUUGUUUUGUAUUUUAUUUUGUGACGGACUCUCGCUCUGUUGCCCAGGCUGGCAUACAGUGGCAUAAUCUCAGCUCAUUGCAACCUCUGCCUCCUAGGUUCAAGCAAUUCUCCUGCCUCAGCCUCCUGAGUAGUUGGGAUUGCACGCAUGCACCACGACACCUGGCUAAUUUUUUUUUUUUUUAAUAGAGGCAGCGUUUCACCAUGUUGGCCACACUGGUCUCAAACUCUUGAUCUCAAGUGAUCCAUCCACCCGAGCGUCCCAAAGUGCUGGGAUUACAGGCUUGAGCCACUGUAUCCAGUGGGAAUAGUGAGAUUCCUUCCUGUGUUUCUUCAUCUGUCACGCACAAUUAUUUGCUUCCUUGUUUGAGCAAUAACUUGGCAUUUCAAUCCAUUUCAGAUUUAUCACUUCUUUAAAUGCAUUGCUCACGUAUCUUACUAUGUAUCCUUUGAGAGGAAGCAUUUCUUAUUAUCGUGUCUGGCUCAUUCCCAUCCCAAGCAUAGUCCCCCUCACACCUAGGAGAAAAUAAAUGUUUGCAGAAUGAAUAAAUGAAUUCAGUCAUCAACUAUAGUCUCUUGAUGGAGCUUCCUAACUAGGAGGGGUUUCACCUACUGCAGCUUGAAUCCUAUUUUAACAAGCACUAGUAGAUUUAAAACAACUGCAUAUCAUAAAGAGAUACUCUAAUUCCUACCAAUAGCUAUCGAAAAACAAAUAUACGUUGAUCAAAUGACCAUGACAUUCUCAGAUCUAAGAAUCCACAUAAAUGAUAGGUAAACCCUGUACACAGAGGGCUUAGAGACAGUUGUGGUAUGAUUUUUUAAAAUUUAUAGAUGGGGUCUUGCCAUGUUGUCCAGGCCACUGUGCAGUGACUGAUCUCAGGUGCAAUCACAGCUCACUGCAGCUUUGAAUUCCUGAGAUCAAGUGAUCCUCCCACGUCAAUCUCCCAAGCAGUUGAGAUACAUGUUUACACACAGAGAGAAAGGAUAUAAAUUCUGCAGGAGGUUUAGCAAUAAAAUAAAAUCAUUGGUUGAUUUGUACAGAAAAGUUCAAACCUCUCACCUCCCCAAAGUCUCUGCCCAAGCUCUCCAGACAAAAAUGGCUUAGAAGAGAUGGGGUGCAUAUAAUUGUCCUUUUCGUCCUUUCAUGGAUCAUCUUAAGAGUCACCUAUUUAAUAAUCCGCCUGCAGGCCUUGGACACUGUCAUAACCUUUGGAGGAACAAAGUUUAAAGGCAGGCAAGAUGAAAGACAGGUGUUUCUCCUUUGAGGCAUAGAAAUUCAAGAGGUUUGGGAAAGAGGUGUCAAGGUCAGAGUUUAUCUGACUGAAUAUAGCUACCAUACAAGUCUGAGUUGGAAACCUAUCCUGCCUGAGGUUAUGAGGGUGAGAAUCUGUUGGAUAAAGGAGGGAAGGCUGCAAAUGCAUUUAGUGAGUGGUCCUGAUGGUGUUCACCUGGGCAGUUAGGGAGUGGAAGAACCUUGAUAGCAAGAGAUUAUUGGAGAAAGCCACUCACGGUUGUGCUUGAUCCAGUAAUACCGCCUAAGACUUUGCCAGGCAAGUGGUCUGUUUUUUAGCUCAUGUUACCCCAGGGCCCUGUGGACACAGACACUGAGUAGGCCUUAACCAAUAUGUUAGAUAACGUGUCUGAAACAUAUUAUAGAUCAGUAACCAUCAUUGGGAUGAAAGGAACUGAAACUUACCCCUGGAAAUAUAUAAAGGAGGAAUAAUAAAGUGUGUGUGUGUGUGUGUGUGUGUGUGUCUGCAUGUCUGUAUGUGUGUGUGUGUGUGUGUGUGUGUGUGUAUAUAUAUAUCAAGAGAGAGACAGAAUAAGACUUAUUCUAAGAUCAAAAUGCAGUAUCUCUCAAAGGCCUACAUCUGGAAAGCCCUUUUGCAUUUUUUUCAGAUGUCUGAAUUAAGACAUUGUUCUAUUGCCACUAGGGAAAAGAAAAUCUGACACCUCACAAUCAAACAGGAAGAAACAGAACAGGAGAGAGAAAGUGAGCGGAGAGAGAGGCAGAAAUUACAGAUGACACUACUGGUGCCUCUAAUCAUA